rnacentral:rRNA from 1 species
UACGGAGGGCGCGAGCGUUGUCCGGAAUCACUGGGCGUAAAGGGCCAGUAGGCGGCCAACUAAGUCGGAUGUGAAAUCCCCAGGCUUAACCUGGGAACUGCAUCCGAUACUGGAUGGCUUGAAUUCGGGAGAGGGAUGCAGAAUUCCAGGUGUAGCGGUGAAAUGCGUAGAUAUCUGGAGGAAUACCGGUGGCGAAGGCGGCAUCCUGGACCGACAUUGACGCUGAACGGCGAAAGCUAGGGGAGCAAACAGG